GAUGAACGCUGGCGGCGUGCCUAAUACAUGCAAGUCGAGCGAACAGACGAGGAGCUUGCUCCUCUGACGUUAGCGGCGGACGGGUGAGUAACACGUCGAUAACCUACCUAUAAGACUGGGAUAACUUCGGGAAACCGGAGCUAAUACCGGAUAAUAUAUUGAACCGCAUGGUUCAAUAGUGAAAGACGGUUUUGCUGUCACUUAUAGAUGGAUCCGCGCCGCAUUAGCUAGUUGGUAAGGUAACGGCUUACCAAGGCGACGAUGCGUAGCCGACCUGAGAGGGUGAUCGGCCACACUGGAACUGAGACACGGUCCAGACUCCUACGGGAGGCAGCAGUAGGGAAUCUUCCGCAAUGGGCGAAAGCCUGACGGAGCAACGCCGCGUGAGUGAUGAAGGUCUUCGGAUCGUAAAACUCUGUUAUUAGGGAAGAACAAAUGUGUAAGUAACUAUCCACGUCUUGACGGUACCUAAUCAGAAAGCCACGGCUAACUACGUG
rnacentral:rRNA from 1 species